rnacentral:rRNA from 1 species
GCGGCAUGCUUUACACAUGCAAGUCGAACGGUAACAGGGUGCUUGCACCGCUGACGAGUGGCGAACGGGUGAGUAAUGCGUCGGAACGUGCCGAGUAGUGGGGGAUAACGCAGCGAAAGUUGUGCUAAUACCGCAUACGUACUGAGGUAGAAAGUGGGGGACCUUCGGGCCUCACGCUAUUCGAGCGGCCGACGUCUGAUUAGCUAGUAGGUGAGGUAAAGGCUCACCUAGGCGACGAUCAGUAGCGGGUCUGAGAGGAUGAUCCGCCACACUGGGACUGAGACACGGCCCAGACUCCUACGGGAGGCAGCAGUGGGGAAUUUUGGACAAUGGGCGAAAGCCUGAUCCAGCCAUGCCGCGUGUCUGAAGAAGGCCUUCGGGUUGUAAAGGACUUUUGUCAGGGAGGAAAUCCCUAGUGCUAAUAACACUGGGGGAUGA